GUAACCUUCCCACUUCUCUUCCUCCCUAUCUUUCACGUGGUAUCUCUCCCUUUCCAUCUCUGCACCGAUGAUUUAUUUUCUAAUCUCUCAUCAAUCGGCAACGAUGACCAGCACGCGUUGACGGGACAGUUUCAACCAACUUUCGCGUACGAGCAUUGAAGGAAUGAAGUUCCGAUGUUGGGAUUGGGGUUCUAAUUUGAGGAAUUUUGUGUGCUCUUGAUGCCUAUCUACAGAUUGUUGGUGCGUUUGGGGGGUUAGGGUUUCGAACUGGGGAUUUGGAUUUCUAAUUCUCGCUUUCGGAUUCCCCGUGGUGGUUGCGUGGGUUAUAGACCAGCGGCGACAGACCAGCUGUUUGUGGAAGAAGUUACGAACCUUGUUGAGCUACAUCCAGUGAGAAUUUCAGUAAACUACAAUCAUGCUCUCUGACCCUGUUCACUAUAAGGGAAAGCAUACUUAUAUGUGCCUGUGACCAGAAAAGGAUAUUGACAGGAUAUUGUGCCGGUGGGCGUUCAGCCAUUGCAGACUUAGGGACUUCGCUACUGGCUGGUCCAAUGGCUGUAAUAACUAUUAUAAACCAUGCAAUUGGAGCAGCUGAAGUUAUGAGCCAAGAAUGCAAGACCGUUGUUGCAGAGUAUGGACAAACGAUAUUGAAUUUGCUGAAGCGUAGCCGAAGAAGAUAUGUUCUCAAAUUGGAUUGUGCACCUUUGAUGGGACUCGUGGUGUUGACCGCUUCACCUUAGUAUGUACAUUGAGAGCAUUGUGGAUGAGAAUGCAAGAAAAUCAUCUGGUGGUCUUCAUGAUGUUGCUUGUUCUGCGUGUGAGAUGGCGGUUGUUUGGAUGCAGAACCAACUCAGCCGAAAUCAAACACUGGAUCAGAUACUAAACUCCGUAAAUCAGCUUUGCGAUAAAAUGCCAAGCCCAAUGGGAGACUCUUCUGUUGGAUGCGGGGAUAUCUCUUCAUUACUGUAGUGUCUAUUACUGUAGUGUCUUUUACUAUUGUUGGAAGAAUUUUUGACCUUCGCCCAGAGGAGAUAAGAUUUCCUCAGGCUAAAACCUGAUUUGUUGCUUUAAUGCACCGAAUUUUAUUAUAAUGAAAACAAGAUAAAUUCAGAGCA